AUUGAACGCUGGCGGCAUGCCUUACACAUGCAAGUCGAACGGCAGCACGGGAGCUUGCUCCUGGUGGCGAGUGGCGAACGGGUGAGUAAUACAUCGGAACGUACCCUGAAGUGGGGGAUAACGUAGCGAAAGUUACGCUAAUACCGCAUAUUCUGUGAGCAGGAAAGAGGGGGAUCGCAAGACCUCUUGCUUUAGGAGCGGCCGAUGUCGGAUUAGCUAGUUGGUGAGGUAAAGGCUCACCAAGGCGACGAUCCGUAGCGGGUCUGAGAGGAUGAUCCGCCACACUGGGACUGAGACACGGCCCAGACUCCGUACGGGAGGCAGCAGGUGGGG
rnacentral:rRNA from 1 species